CUGAGAGAGCCUGUCUUUGAAGGUGUAGCGAUAGCUGGGGUUCCAUCUAACGAAUUGAGUGAUGAACCAGUACAAACUGAACCACAAUUCAGCUAAAGAUAAACCCAUCCAAGCCCAUCUUCUCAGCAGUUGUCCAUCUGCAGCUGGGAAGUGAACCACCCUAUAAAUACAGAUAAAAGUGAUGCCCACCAAAACUGAUGCUGCAUAGCAUCUGAAUAGUAUACGACCCCUAGCAGCUUUUGUUUCAAAGAGAGGAAGAUAGCCAUCUUUGCCCGUUGCUUCUGUCUUUCUCUGACCACCAUGUGAUCAGCUUAUAUAAAUAGUUUGGUUUGCAUUUUUCAUUUUAUUGUUGUUAUGGUCAAAACUUUACUUUGCCGCUUUAGAUGGCAUCAAAGAAAGGAGUAAAAACAAAUUAUCCCAUCUAAGCCCACCCAUCUCUAAAUUGCUUUCCUCUUGUAAAUGAACCGAGCACAAAUAGAACAAGUACCCAUAAAGGUUGAAACUGGAUAAACUGUGAAACAAGAUUUGACCCUUUUCAGCCCUUGUUUCAAACAGAGGAUGAGAAACAUCUCUCUAGCUCUCAUGCUCUCAUACUCUCCCUCUGCUGUCUCAUGCAUUACCUUAUAUAACCUGCCCACUGUUUCCUUUAAAUUCAAGAAUGUUUCUAACAAGGAGACAAGGGAUAUUCAAGGUUUAAGCAUCCUCUGCAUGCACAAACAGAGUUCAUGUGCUCAUUCUUUUUUCCUUAAAAAUUUGCAAUUUCUGGACUCUCUGGUGACACCCUGAUGAACAGGGGUUUAAGCAAGAGGCUUGUAACAAAUUAAAAUGGGUACAUGAUUAAUAUCGAAGCCUUUAUACCUGGAGAAACAUAUACUAUCCAUUAUUGAAAAUUGAAACUGCAUCAGUUAUACAUAUAUAACAGUUCUUCAGAGCCUUAUAUAAUACAUAUGAAGUUGUGGCAAAGAGACUUUGCUUACUGAUACAGUAAACUAAUACAAGGCUAAUGAACAGGCCAACAGCGCUAAAGAAACUGAUUUGUAUGUGACUGAUGUUGGCAUGGUGCCCUUGUCCUUGCGGAAAAAGAGCCCUUGGUAUACGGGCAGGUUGAUGAGAACAAGAACCCCACAUAAGAUAAUCUGCAGAGCCAAUGACUCCAAAGGUUUAAUUUGAAUAUCCACAACCACCCUCUUUACACCACAAACAAAACUGAACAGAUUGAGCAAUGCAAGUGUAGCUGAAAUGGUAAACAUUGGUGAAGGAGAACCAAACUCCAUGAUUUCUUGUUCGUAUCUUUGAGACACAUCUUCAUCACACACCUUUGCAGUGACAGCAAAAGUGGUCUCAGCAAAGCCUAGUAUCCUCAAGAUUGUAUCAAGGAAGCCAAAGAAGUAGGAAGUUGUCCUUCUGAACAUCCAUAUUCUUUGAUCAUUCCACCAACCUUGGAUUGUGCCACCAUACCAAUGAAACUCACCUAAGCUGUAUGCAUGCUUGGCAAUAAUGACAUAGGCAAAGGGAAGGACCCACAGGCUCCAUAUCUGAAAAAGUAACAUAAUUCAUUGCCGGGAACCAAAUAGCAUUUCAAUUGUUUGGAUACAGCAAAGUGUCAUGUCAGGACUUCUCUUUCUAAAAUGGAAGAAGAAAAGCACAUAGUUCUUUUCGAAGUAUUUAGGAAAAUCUAUCAUGUUGAGAAACUAAAUUUAUUGUGAAUAAUUUGAGAAAUUUUGCUAGCUAGUGAUCAUACAUUAUAGAACAAUGUUGCCUGUGCUUGACAGUAAGUAUUUUGCAGUUCUGUACUACUCAAAAGUUUUUAAGUUUGGAAGUAUUUGUUUAAAUGAUGUAAUGUUCAUACCUCUGGAAACAAGGAGAUGCCUCCAAGGAGACAAAGGGAUGGGACAGCAACAUAGCAUAGCAUAGCCAAGGAGUAUGCAGCCCACAGAUUAUAGAUAGAGUAUGCGAGUUGAAGUUUCAGAGGAACCUUUUUGUGUCCAUAUAUAAAUGGACAGUGUCUCGAGAGAAACAUCUGAAGGUGGCCUUCAGACCAUCUCUUGUGUUGUACUAGUGACUGCAACAGUGUUGUGGGCGCAACACCCAAGAAGCCCUUCCUUUCUGGAUUGACAUAGACGGAUCUCCAACCUCUACAUUGUAUUGAGAAUCCUGUGAUAAUGUCUUCCACUGCACAAUCAUACUUCACGCCCAUCUGCAAUUCAACAUAAAGAUUAAGUUUUUUAGCUUAAGAAAAGGAAAAAGCUUUACAGGCAGGAAAUUCAUGAGACAGAGACAGAAGAACCUCCUUUCCCCAUUGACUGUUCUCUUCGUAGGUACAACUUGCAAGGACCUUACAUGAUUCUUCUAGUACACUAGCACUUUCUCUUCCUCUUCUGCCAUUCUCUUUCUUCCAUUCUCUCUCACAUUCCUUGUCAUAUUUCAUUCCACACAGUGCCACUCUCCUAUGAAAGCACCCGGUACCAAUAUAGAAAGGUCCUCCAUUAGAAUCAAGGCCUGGAAAUUCCACCUUUUUCACCAGUCAUGCCAAAAGCCAACAAUAAAAUCAUUAGGAAGUCAUUGCUAAUGCCUACCUCCUCUAGGCCAAGCAGUAAGGAAUAAAUAAUUCUUUCAAAUCUUGCCUACCUCAAUAAUCACCCUAAAGCAGUUGCCAUAUAAGUCAUUCCUAGUAAGAUUAUCGUAGCACUGUGGAAACUGGACAUAAGCAAUUUCAUGGCCCUUCUCUUCAUCCAUGAAAAAACACACAGCAUCUCUCACUGAUUCUGAAUUGUUGGAGUACAUGUCACAGUCCACAUUAAGAAUAAUCGAGCCAUUGCUUAUCUUUGAUGACACCCUUAUCUGUUCAACAAAAUCAGAGUCACCUACAUUAAGAUAAUUGGCAGUGGUUCACUGUAGGAAAGCUGAAGUCAUUUAAGCUUACGAGUGCAUUCAUGGCUCCAGCUUUAAAAUUGUGAUGGUAUUGGGGUCUCUUCUCACGGGACAAGUAUACUAGAGUUGGCAAAGGUUGUCCUUCAGAGUCCACAGCCUUGGGGUCUCUCCCAUCAAUCACUAUCUGUUACUUUAUAUAAUAUUAGCAAAAGAUGAAUCAAAGAUAAAUAUGAAGAAAAACUUAGUAGAGAUGUAUUGAUUUUCAAGAAGAAAUCUCUUGGAAUAGGAAAAAAUACACAAAUUAGUAGAAUAACUACUUGAACAAUGGACUGAUGGUCAUGCCGUGUUGAAGCACUGUUCCACUCCAGAAAUCCCUUGUCCUCCUUUCUUAUUUCUUCUGAAAUCCUGCCCAGUCUAGUGGUGGUUUCAAUUCUAUUCUUCAUUUCUUCAUACAAUUCCUAUAAUGAGAAAAGGAAUAGAAGUUCUAAAUCAUAUGUAGAAAAACUCUAAAAAGAUUUGCCUAGUAUGGGAGUCACACAUACUCAUUAUAACAUGGAAAGAGAGAAAAAUUCAAGUACCAUACCACAUACCAUUACACACUCUGAUGAACAUUUUCUUUGUUCUGCUAAGAGUUUAAGUUCCUAGGAUUUGGACUUUUAUUUAUUUAUUUGUGGGCAUACAUGUGGGCUCAACAAGUCGGGAAAAUAAAUAUGUAUUGAGGUUUGAAUACAUGAUCUCCCACCCAGCCUGCUUUAUCAAUUUUACUGAAAACUUAACCUUGCAGAAUUUGCACCCAUAAUAUAUAUUAUACUCUUCCACACUCAUCAUUAUUUAUGAUCUCUAAAUUGUUUGCAGGAUUUGGAUCUAUAAUAUAUGUUAUACUCUUCCACUCUUCAUCAAUUAUGAUCUAUAAAUUGCUUGUACGAUUUGGACCCAUAAUAUGUCUUGUACUCUUAUCAUAUUCCUCAAUUCUGAUCCCUCAUAGAAUUUAUUUGAGUGGUCAGAAUGCAAGUCAAAUCUUCUAAAAAAUUUAAAAAUCUUAGCAUUCUAUAUAUGAUCCUCCCAAAAAAAAUAAAAAUGAAUAAAUAAAUAAAUAAAAACACUUCUGAAGAACACUACCGAGCACACACUCAUUCAUUCAUUAUCUUCCCUGCAAAACUUUCCGGAAAAGAUGCAACAAUUUUGAAGUGGGUCAGACUGAUGAUGCACAGCGGUCGACAUUAAUGUUGGGGAUCUUUCGUAUCUUAAAUAGUUACUCAUUAAAAGGACAGCAUCCUUCUUACUGUCUGAGGCUCUCUUCCAGCUUCGAUUAUUUCCUUUAACAAUUGGGUCUUUGGAAUGAAGUCAGAGCAGCCUUGGAAGUAGUUGCAGCUUGCAACUAUAUGUUGACAAUUGAUCUUAAACCAAAAUUCAUAGAAUCCAAGGAGAAAAAAACAGAGAAAGUUGUACCUUGAUGGACAACCACUCCUGAGCCAUGAGAGGAUUGCUAUCAGGGGGUUCAGAAGUUGUGGAAAAAUAAGCAGCAGGUGAUCUUGGUUCUAUACUGAACUUCCUACAAAAUGGUAGCCAAUGUUUUGAGAAGCGAGAGGCCUCCAACAAAGCAUAGAAGGUCAGGUCUGAGCCUCCAUCAUCAGAGAGAUAGACGCUUAGGUUCUGUGAUGGGUAAUUGUAAGCCAUGACUGAUAAAACAGUGUUGAUGACCAUGAUGGGUGGCUCUAUUCUUGGAUCUGCAGUGCACACAAAUAUGUCUAUGCCCGGCAAAACCUCCUCAUAUCUGCAAUGAAAUUUCAGAAUGAGCCAUUAGCAGGUAAAGAUAGGAGCAAGAAGAGGGAGAGAGAUUGAAAAAACCUCUGAGAGAGCCUGUCUUUGAAGGUGUAACGAUAGAUGGGGCUCCAUCUAACAAGCUGAGUGAGAAACCAGUAGAAACUGAACAACAACUCAGAUAGAAACAAUCCCAUCCAAGCCCAUCUUCUUAGCACUUGUGCGCCUGCAGGUGGGAAGUGAACCACCCUGUAAACCCAGAUAAAAAUAAUACCCACAAACAUUGAUGCUGCAUAGCAUCUGAAUAGGAUACGACCCUUUGCAACCUUGGUUUCAAAGAGAGGAAGAUAGCCAUCUCUGCCCAUUUCUACACUGCCUUUC
rnacentral:lncRNA from 1 species